AUUGAACGCUGGCGGCAGGCCUAACACAUGCAAGUCGAGCGGAUGAAGGGAGCUUGCUCCUGGAUUCAGCGGCGGGCGGGUGAGUAAUGCCCAGGAAUCUGCCCGGGAGUGGGGGAUAACGUCCGGAAACGGGCGCUAAUACCGCAUACGGUCUGAGGGGGAAAGUGGGGGGUCUUUGGACCUCACGCUAUCAGAUGAGCCUAGGUCGGAUUAGCUAGUUGGUGGGGUAAAGGCCUACCAAGGCGACGAUCCGUAACUGGUCUGAGAGGAUGAUCAGUCACACUGGAACUGAGACACGGUCCAGACUCCUACGGGAGGCAGCAGUGGGGAAUAUUGGACAAUGGGCGAAAGCCUGAUCCAGCCAUGCCGCGUGUGUGAAGAAGGUCUUCGGAUUGUAAAGCACUUUAAGUUGGGAGGAAGGGCAGUAAGUUAAUACCUUGCUGUUUUGACGUUACCAACAGAAUAAGCACCGGCUAACUUCGUG
rnacentral:rRNA from 1 species